rnacentral:rRNA from 13 species
AUCCGGGUUGCGGACAGUGUCUGGUGGGUAGUUUGACUGGGGCGGUCUCCUCCUAAAGAGUAACGGAGGAGCACGAAGGUUGGCUAAUCCUGGUCGGACAUCAGGAGGUUAGUGCAAUGGCAUAAGCCAGCUUGACUGCGAGCGUGACGGCGCGAGCAGGUGCGAAAGCAGGUCAUAGUGAUCCGGUGGUUCUGAAUGGAAGGGCCAUCGCUCAACGGAUAAAAGGUACUCCGGGGAUAACAGGCUGAUACCGCCCAAGAGUUCAUAUCGACGGCGGUGUUUGGCACCUCGAUGUCGGCUCAUCACAUCCUGGGGCUGAAGUAGGUCCCAAGGGUAUGGCUGUUCGCCAUUUAAAGUGGUACGCGAGCUGGGUUUAGAACGUCGUGAGACAGUUCGGUCCCUAUCUGCCGUGGGCGCUGGAGAACUGAGGGGGGCUGCUCCUAGUACGAGAGGACCGGAGUGGACGCAUCACUGGUGUUCGGGUUGUCAUGCCAAUGGCACUGCCCGGUAGCUAAAUGCGGAAGAGAUAAGUGCUGAAAGCAUCUAAGCACGAAACUUGCCCCGAGAUGAGUUCUCCCUGAGACUU